AAUGGGGGAUAACGUAGCGAAAGUUACGCUAAUACCGCAUAUGCCCUGAGGGGGAAAGGUGGGGAUCGCAAGACCUAUCGUUUUCGGAGUGGCCGAUAUCAGAUUAGCUAGUUGGUGGGGUAAAGGCCUACCAAGGCGACGAUCUGUAGCUGGUCUGAGAGGACGACCAGCCACACUGGGACUGAGACACGGCCCAGACUCCUACGGGAGGCAGCAGUGGGGAAUUUUGGACAAUGGGGGCAACCCUGAUCCAGCCAUGCCGCGUGAGUGAAGAAGGCCUUCGGGUUGUAAAGCUCUUUCGGACGGAAAGAAAUCCUAUCCGCUAAUACCGGGUGGGGAUGACGGUACCGUCAUAAGAAGCACCGGCUAACUACGUGCCAGCAGCCGCGGUAAUACGUAGGGUGCGAGCGUUAAUCGGAAUUACUGGGCGUAAAGCGUGCGCAGGCGGUUUUGUAAGACAGACGUGAAAUCCCCGGGCUUAACCUGGGAACUGCGUUUGUGACUGCAAGGCUAGAGUGCGGCAGAGGGGGGUAGAAUUCCA
rnacentral:rRNA from 1 species